rnacentral:rRNA from 1 species
CACCAAACAGCUAGCCUCC